ACGAGUAAUAUCAAGGCGAGUCGUAACUUUUUUUGUCAUACUUGUGACUUGCCUUGUACUUGCAAAUAGCAAAACUCAACGAUUUGAUACUUGAUUUGGUAACGACGAGUACUUGUAAAAACGAGGCAAGUACGGAUCAAAUAGCGGGUAUAAGGCAAGUAACGAGUAUUGGUGCCCAGCCCUAUGUAUAGGCAUGUUUUCAGAAACCCAUUUCCUAACGUGUCUCGCUGAGAAGAAGAGGAAAACUCUCUUUUAUAUAGUACGAUAGAGAUAGAUAGAUAAUUUUCAUAUAAUAUUACAUAUCUUUUAUAUAGUAUGAUGCCUCUGAAUGCUAAAGUGUCUGAUGCCUCAAAUGGUAUCUCAUGGACUCUCCCUUCUCCGAGAUCAGAGGCAGCUUCACAUUGCUCUCACAUCCAUCACCCCUCCCACGAUCUUAGAAGAGGAUGACUCCUACUGCUGGAAGGUGAACGUAACUCUAUGCAAUGGCUACUCUUCCUCUCAGACACGGGAAGCCAUCAGACCCCGAGAAACAACAAAAUCUUGGGCCCCAAUUGUAUGGUAUAAAGGAGCUUGCUGUCUAUGCAACUGCUCAGACGAAAGCAGAGAGCACUUGUUUUUAAACUGCAGGUUUUCCCUUGAAAUCUGGGCACAAGCUUUCGCUAGACUAUCACCGCAUCAGCCAGCUUUCUUCACAGGGACAUAGCUUCUUUCUUGGUGUAGAGCUCAAUCAGUAGCAGCUCCGGCUGUUCUAAGGAAAUUACUCACUCAUGUCCUUGUAUACCAUAUAUGGAGGCAAAGAAACAAUGUCCUCCACAACAACACUCACCGCUCACCCGUGCGAAUCUUCAGACUCAUUGAUCGAGAUGCGAGAAAUACGAUCACUGCAAGGCGCCACAAGCGCUCUUUUUUGAACCUCAUGGUGCUUUGGAUUAGAUGAACCAGAUGCUCACCAUAGGAUCUAAACUACUACCUUUCUUGUUUUUUUAUUUAAUUUUGGCCAAAAAAGAUGUAUGUAAAAGUCUUUUCAUUGUAACAGACAAGCUGCUCAUUUUAGAUAGUGAUAUUUACAAUUUAGUAAAAAAAAAACAUAUAGUUCAGCUAAAUAAAAUAAAAUUCAAGCAUUAAAAGGGCCA